GUAUUAUCAUGAGUUCCCUGCAAGCACUUCACGAGGCACUAUCCCAAGGGCUACUGUGAAGUGUUUGGGGGAACUCUUGGUGUCAC
rfam:Brachypodium distachyon strain Bd21 chromosome 5, whole genome shotgun sequence.